UGGGGAAUUUUGGACAAUGGGCGAAAGCCUGAUCUAGCAAUGCCGCGUGUGUGAAGAAGGCCUUCGGGUUGUAAAGCACUUUUGUCCGGAAAGAAAUCCUUGGCUCUAAUACAGUCGGGGGAUGACGGUACCGGAAGAAUAAGCACCGGCUAACUACGUGCCAGCAGCCGCGGUAAUACGUAGGGUGCAAGCGUUAAUCGGAAUUACUGGGCGUAAAGCGUGCGCAGGCGGUUUGCUAAGACCGAUGUGAAAUCCCCGGGCUCAACCUGGGAACUGCAUUGGUGACUGGCAGGCUAGAGUAUGGCAGAGGGGGGUAGAAUUCCACGUGUAGCAGUGAAAUGCGUAGAGAUGUGGAGGAAUACCGAUGGCGAAGGCAGCCCCCUGGGCCAAAUACUGACGCUCAUGCACGAAAGCGUGGGGAGCAAACAGGAUUAGAUACCCUGGUAGUCCACGCCCUAAACGAUGUCAACUAGUUGUUGGGGAUUCAUUUCCUUAGUAACGUAGCUAACGCGUGAAGUUGACCGCCUGGGGAGUACGUCGCAAGAUUAAAACUCAAAUGAAUUGACGGGG
rnacentral:rRNA from 1 species